UAUACGAUGUAUCCUUACAGAAGAUGCUUAGAAAAUAAUUUUACGGAUUUAGAAUCAUCAUCGUCAUCAUCAUUAGCCUGUGAUUUAGAAUAGUAGACACCAAAUAUUUUGGUGUGUAGUAUGCAAAGUAGUAAAAAUAUGCCAUAGAACCUAAGUUAGGUAAAAAGCGAAGCAAGUGCGAUUUUUUUUAAUAUGUGACCCAUGGGAGCGCAUAAAUGAGUACAUUUCAACGCCCCUCCGAAAUUAAAUCUAAGUACAGUAGCUGUAGCUGGCUGGAAAUAUCGUACAAUGACCUUUAGAAAGGGAUAUCGGCUUCGUAGAGUGUUGUCUCUGUCACUCAUACAUAUGUGACGUUUUUACAAUAAAGACAACGG